rnacentral:rRNA from 1 species
GGAAACGACUGCUAAUACCAUAUAUUCUCCUUUGGAGGAAAGAUUUAUCGCUAUAGGAUGAGCCUGCGCUAAAUUAGGUUGUUGGUGGGGUAAUGGCCUACCAAGCCUAUGAUUUAUAGCUGGUCUGAGAGGACGAUCAGCCACACUGGAACUGAGACACGGUCCAGACUCCUACGGGAGGCAGCAGUGGGGAAUAUUGGACAAUGGGCGCAAGCCUGAUCCAGCAAUGUCGCGUGAAUGAUGAAGGCCUUAGGGCUGUAAAAUUCUUUCGGUAGGGAAGAAAAUGACGGUACCUACAGAAGAAGUUCCGGCUAACUCCGUGCCAGCAGCCGCGGUAAUACGGGGGGAGCUAGCGUUUUUCGGAUUUACUGGGCGUAAAGGGCGUGUAGGCGGUUAAUAAAGUUGAAAGUGAAAUCCUUGGGCUUAACCUGAGAACUGCUUUCAAAACUUAUUGACUAGAGAACGAUAGAGGAUGACAGAAUUCCUAGUGUAGAGGUGAAAUUCUUAGAUAUUAGGAGGAAUACCGGUGGCGAAGGCGGUUAUCUGGGUCGUUUCUGACGCUGAGGCGCGAAAGCGUGGGGAGCAAACAGGAUUAGAUACCCUGGUAGUCCACGCUGUAAACGAUGAGUGUUAGGUGUUGGGAUCGCAAGAUUUCAGUGCCGUAGCUAACGCAUUAAACACUCCGCCUGGGGAGUAAGGUCGCAAGAUUAAAACUCAAAGGAAUUGACGGGGACCUGCACAAGUGGUGGAACAUGCGGUUUAAUCCGAUGCUACGCGCAAAACCUUACCAACUCUUGACAUGGUGGUCGCGGGAUUCAGAAAUGAAUUCUUUCAGUUCGGCUGGACCACACACAGGUGUUGCAUGGCCGUCGUCAGCUCGUGUUGUGAGAUGUUAGGUUAAGUCCUGCAACGAGCGCAACCCUUAUUCUUAUUUGCCAGCGGGUUAUGCCGGGAACUAUAAGAAAACUGCCAGCGAUAAGCUGGAGGAAGGUGGGGAUGAAGUCAGGUCUGCAUGGCCCUUAUGGGUUGGGCUACACGCGUGUUACAAUGAUAGUUACAAAGGGCAACCAAAGAGCGAUCUGUAGUUAAUCCCAAAAAAGCUAUCUUAGUGCGGAUUGCACUCUGCAACUCGG